rnacentral:rRNA from 1 species
UGGGGAAUUUUGGACAAUGGGGGCAACCCUGAUCCAGCAAUGCCGCGUGCAGGAUGAAGGCCUUCGGGUUGUAAACUGCUUUUGGUAGGGAAGAAACGGUGAGUACUAAUACUAUUUACUAAUGACGGUACCUACAGAAUAAGCACCGGCUAACUACGUGCCAGCAGCCGCGGUAAUACGUAGGGUGCGAGCGUUAAUCGGAAUUACUGGGCGUAAAGCGUGCGCAGGCGGUUGAGUAAGUCUGAUGUGAAAUCCCUGGGCUUAACCUAGGAAUUGCAUUGGAUACUGCUCGACUAGAGUAUGUCAGAGAGAGAUGGAAUUCCACGUGUAGCAGUGAAAUGCGUAGAGAUGUGGAGGAACACCGAUGGCGAAAGCAGUCUCUUGGGAUAAUACUGACGCU